rnacentral:rRNA from 1 species
ACAUACUUACAACAUAGUGUUAAUGCAUUGCAUCCCAUUAGAACUCUGAUGUUAAGCGUGCUCGAGCUAGAGUAGUACUAGGAUGGGUGAUCGCCCGAAAAUUCCUAGUGUUUUGCAUGCC